rnacentral:rRNA from 1 species
AGAGUUUGAUCAUGGCUCAGAUUGAACGCUGGCGGCAGGCCUAACACAUGCAAGUCGAACGGUAACAGGAAACAGCUUGCUGUUUCGCUGACGAGUGGCGGACGGGUGAGUAAUGUCUGGGAAACUGCCUGAUGGAGGGGGAUAACUACUGGAAACGGUAGCUAAUACCGCAUAACGUCGCAAGACCAAAGAGGGGGACCCUCAGGCCUCUUGCCAUCGGAUGUGCCCAGAUGGGAUUAGCUUGUUGGUGGGGUAACGGCUCACCAAGGCGACGAUCCCUAGCUGGUCUGAGAGGAUGACCAGCCACACUGGAACUGAGACACGGUCCAGACUCCUACGGGAGGCAGCAGUGGGGAAUAUUGCACAAUGGGCGCAAGCCUGAUGCAGCCAUGCCGCGUGUAUGAAGAAGGCCUUCGGGUUGUAAAGUACUUUCAGCGGGGAGGAAGGGAGUAAAGUUAAUACCUUUGCUCAUUGACGUUACCCGCAGAAGAAGCACCGGCUAACUCCGUGCCAGCAGCCGCGGUAAUACGGAGGGUGCAAGCGUUAAUCGGAAUUACUGGGCGUAAAGCGCACGCAGGCGGUUUGUUAAGUCAGAUGUGAAAUCCCCGGGCUCAACCUGGGAACUGCAUCUGAUACUGGCAAGCUUGAGUCUCGUAGAGGGGGGUAGAAUUCCAGGUGUAGCGGUGAAAUGCGUAGAGAUCUGGAGGAAUACCGGUGGCGAAGGCGGCCCCCUGGACGAAGACUGACGCUCAGGUGCGAAAGCGUGGGGAGCAACAGGAUUAGAUACCCUGGUAGUCCACGCCGUAAACGAUGUCGACUUGGAGGUUGUGCCCUUGAGGCGUGGCUUCCGGAGCUAACGCGUUAAGUCGACCGCCUGGGGAGUACGGCCGCAAGGUUAAAACUCAAAUGAAUUGACGGGGGCCCGCACAAGCGGUGGAGCAUGUGGUUUAAUUCGAUGCAACGCGAAGAACCUUACCUGGUCUUGACAUCCACAGAACUUUCCAGAGAUGGAUUGGUGCCUUCGGGAACUGUGAGACAGGUGCUGCAUGGCUGUCGUCAGCUCGUGUUGUGAAAUGUUGGGUUAAGUCCCGCAACGAGCGCAACCCUUAUCUUUUGUUGCCAGCGGUCCGGCCGGGAACUCAAAGGAGACUGCCAGUGAUAAACUGGAGGAAGGUGGGGAUGACGUCAAGUCAUCAUGGCCCUUACGACCAGGGCUACACACGUGCUACAAUGGCGCAUACAAAGAGAAGCGACCUCGCGAGAGCAAGCGGACCUCAUAAAGUGCGUCGUAGUCCGGAUUGGAGUCUGCAACUCGACUCCAUGAAGUCGGAAUCGCUAGUAAUCGUGGAUCAGAAUGCCACGGUGAAUACGUUCCCGGGCCUUGUACACACCGCCCGUCACACCAUGGGAGUGGGUUGCAAAAGAGGUAGGUAGCUUAACCUUCGGGAGGGCGCUUACCACUUUGUGAUUCAUGACUGGGGUGAAGUCGUAACAAGGUAACCGUA